CGUAACCCAACCGCGCCACCGGUCAUUCUCGAUCGAACUCAAGAACCCAGAAUGGAGUUCGCGAUGGCUGAAUCAUGGCGAUUCCGGCCGGGGCAAGGCCACCUCUGCCCCGUCUGUUCGAUCCCUUACAUCCCUUUUCUUAGGGUUCUUUCUGCCCCAUGCCGCCGCUGCGAUUGACUUCGGCCCAGCGCUGUAAGGUCCUAACUUCCUGGAGUUGACUACAUCUUCUGCCGGUCAACAACGGUGGAUUUUCAGUUGGUACUAUGAAAGGCUAAGCUCCUUCACCACUGGUCCAGGAUUAGGUUACAAUUUGGCCUCUAACCCAUAAAUCAAAAGCUAGCUUGCAGCAGAGAUACUUUUAACAAAAGGUGGCCGUGCACCGUGGAGGGUUCUUAAAUAUUGAAGAUGACAAGCGCAUUCCUGGUGUUCUGCUAAUGUAUAACAGAGUGCCACCCUUUCUUUUUCUCCAAGCUCCGAUGCUGGCAUCAGGUUUGGCUGCUGGUCAGAAGGCCUCUGCAGAUAAAGACAAUUGCUCAAAUCCUGGCAAGAAACAUCAACCUACUGAUUUGGAUACUACCUAAACUUGAGCAAGUCCAUCUCUGCUUUCACUACAAGCAACUCAUCCCAAUUAUCCUUGUACGAAGCAAAUCUGGUAUUCUUGCUUUUUGUUCAGAAGAUUAUUGCUGCUGCAAGCUCUCAACAGCUCAUUGUAGUUUGAGUUUACAGCAGGAAGGAAAAGGAGACUGAUGCUGCUGACCCACAAAUAAUUACUUGAGUGCUCAAGAUCAUUAGGUUGUCAAGAACACCAUUCUUGCACUUACGGCAUCUGAUUUGCUCCUGCAACAGCAUCUGACUUUGUUUACAGGGGCAUUUAUCCAAUUCUGCAAUAACUCAUUGCUUGUGGAGAUCCGUGACAAUUAACUUUUGUUUUGAUGUAAUCUUCCUAAAAGGUUGCUUCGCCGGCUCUUUCUUCUUGGGCUCGUGUGGUUCUGUGCUAUUUCUUGUGCAUCCUCCAGUAUAAUGUAACAUAUGAAAGGAAGUGAGCUCAUGUAGGAACUCCACACAUGUCGGCUCCACCCAAAGCAUGUGAAUGGUAAUGAGCUCGUGUGGGCUUCGUUUUCAGGGUGGCAGUGAUAAGUUGCAGAGGCCUCGGCUUGCGUGCACAAGUAGCCAAAAGCGUCGGCUUCGCCGGUGCUGCUGCCGCUUCUCAGGUUUCACUGUGCUUGGUUUCUCGCCCAAAAGCCUGUACGUUUUGUUUCGGUAUGAGACAAUUCUGCUCCUUACGUACUUUAAAGGUGACAAAAGCUUAUCCGGAAUAGGGUUGAUUUCGAUGAUUUUGGCAGAAUGUGGAAUUCCAAUUAGUUUUUGUCUCAUCUAUUUUGAUGUGUCAUGGCUUUGUAUGUUGCAUCUCAGGUGAAUUGUUACAUGAAUCCUUACAGUGUAGUAUGACUUGAAAGACUUACUGAACAUGAAGAGAGAUCUUCCACAUGAGAGACAACAAAAGAAAAGAAGACGCAAUACUAUGAUUUUAAGCCUCAUCCACUAGCUAUUGCCAACUCUAUUAGAUUAUACUUGACACAUGUGAUGUCCUUCAAAACAUGUUACAAGGGAUGGUGAUGAAUUAAUUAUGCCAUUUAGGUGAGGACAGAUUGUGAAGUAAAGAAACAGGGGAGUGCUCCACAGCUGGGGGAAAGGAAUGCCAAGAAUUACAUAUGUACAGCUACAAGACACAGGGGAAAGCCAUGGCAUUCGCAUAGAAGGUGAAGAGCGUUCUAGACAGGUAAAUGAUGAUGGACUCACCAUCAUCAUGCCUUGCGUGCUCUUUCUCCAGAUGUCAUGCAAUAAUUCUCCAAAAUGAGUCAGCUAUCAUCUCUGGCCAAGUAGCCACUUCUCGAUGAUGAAUGCAGUUGGACAUUCCCACAUCAACUUGUCUUGCUUUGGGUUUAUCUUUUGAUUGAAGAUUCCAUGAGUGACUUGAAAGAAUGCAAUACCUUCUCACAAGCACUUCCAAGGCAGCAAUGCAUAUAUUGGUGGUAUCUGCUGGACCAAUGAAGCAAUGGCAGAUACUCAUGUUUGGAUUGCCUCAAACUAAUUUGACAAUGAUCUGAUGACCGGGUCAAGAAAGAUCGGAGAGAGCUUUUCUAUGUUGCACUGGCUUUCAUGCAUGCCCGUGAUAUUUUUAGGCAAUUAAAACUAUUGUUCUCUUCUUGUGGUUUUAAAGGAAAACAAAAGAAGAAGAGAAAGAAGCUUUUGUUGCA